rnacentral:misc_RNA from 1 species
AUGGGAUCCACAUUAGCAAGAAAACGUAAUUGGCGUCCUUCUGCAGACUUAAUAGCCUCUGGAUCUGUUUGAAGUGCAGUGUGCACAAACAGAGGCCCCAAGAAGCUGCCACCAAUGCCAAUAGCAACAACAUCCUUCAGAGGUUUUCCUGUGGCUCCAACCCAAGAACCAUUGCGAACUUUCUCAGAGAAAUCUUGAAUCUUAUCAAGAACGUUCCAAACAUCAGGCACAACAUUCUUUCCGUUACUCUGUAUUGUUGCAUCUCUUGAUGCACGAAGAGCAACAUGCAGGACUGCCCUAUUUUCUGUGCUAUUUAUAUGUUCCCCAUUGUACAUCCGAUUAAUCUUUUCCUUGAGCUUUGCAGCCUCUGCCAAUUUGAAGAGCUUUCCAAUGG